UGCACGCAUGACUGUAAGUCGCUUUGAAUAGAAGUGUCUGCUAAAUUACAUACU
rfam:Salmo salar isolate Sally breed double haploid chromosome ssa01, whole genome shotgun sequence.